rnacentral:sRNA from 1 species
GUUAAAUGAAAAUAAAAACAAAAUCGAAGUACAUCAUUUGCAGUUUUUGGGAUUCCAAAGGGAUCAAAUAAAUUAAAGUCAUAAAAAUCAUUAAGCAACAAGGCAUACAGUAACCAACACAAGCACACAAAUACAUAUAUGGUACGCCUUUACAUACUUAACCUCAAACUAAGUUGUAAAAAUAAAAUAAGAAGCUAAGGAGAGAACCAG